GACGAACGCUGGCGGCGUGCUUAACACAUGCAAGUCGAACGAAGAGCGAUGGACGCUUUUUUUUAUCACUCUUAGUGGCGAACGGGUGAGUAACGCGUAAUCAACCUGCCCUUCAGAGGGGGACCACAGUUGGAACCGACUGCUAAUACCGCAUACGAUCUAAACUCGGUAUCGCGGAUAGAUGAAAGGUGGCCUCUACAUGUAAGCUAUCACUGUAGGUCGGGAGUGCGUCGGACUAGCUAGUUGGAGGGGUAACGGCCCCCCAAGGCGAUGAUCAGUAUCCGGUCUGAGAGGAUGAGCGGCCGCAUUGGGACUGUGACUAGGCCCAGACUCCUACAGGAGGCAGCAGAGGCGGAUCUUUCGCAAUGGAUGAAAGUCUGACGGUGCAACGCCGCGAGAGAGACUACUGCCAUCGGGUUGUAAAGCUCUGUUAAUCGGGACGAAAGGUCUUCAUGCGAAUAGAGAGAAGGAUUGACGGUACCUGAAUAGAAAGCCACGGCUAACUACGUG
rnacentral:rRNA from 1 species